GUCAAUUUUGGGUAAAUUUAUUUAGUCUAGAGAAACCCCUAAACAAAUUAUAAAAUGCCAUAUAUAUGUUGUUUUGAAACAAAACCCCAUUCAUAGAUUUUCAGAUUGGUCAAGUCUUUAACAUCCUCUUCUAGAUGAGAUAAGGUUAGUAAUAUUUUUUUAUUCCACUUAAUUACUGUAAAUUUGGUAAUAUUAUUAUUAGUCAUUUCAUUCUAUAUAAAAAUAGAUUGUCUUAUUGAUUGUUUGUUUAUGAACAGAUUUGUAUCAAAUUGUGCAUGUUAGACAUGAUUGUGAACAUGUAUUUUAUUUUAUUUUUUAUAAAUUUAGUAAUACUUUUAUAAAAGUACACUGGCAAAGAAGGUCGUGCUAGGACAUAAUCUGGACUAGAAAAUUUAUUUUGAGGUGGCAUGCAUUAACAUAUCUAUGCUUUACUAUAUUACAUAGAGUUUUUUCAAGUUGUUUUUGGGGCAAAGGUUUAAAUUUAUAAGAAUAUUUUUUAGUAUUAUCAAUCUCUUAAGGAUAAGAGAUCUAAUUUAUUAAGAGUUGGGGGAUGGUAGCCCCUCUUCGUUAGGGUGUUUAGAGAUUGGAUAUUAAAUCAGCCAACUAAAUGGCUAAUUUGAUUUGGAUCAUUCAUCUUUUGAUCCAUAAUGAAAUUCUCUCAAAGUGCACAUCCCUUUUUAGCUAUCAAAUCAAGUGGAUGUUCAAUGUGGUCCAUCUAGUCAUUUUCUUUAAUUCUAUAAACUUCAAUAAGUAAAUUGGCAUGAAAGUAUGGGAGGGGAUGAGGUUGGACUAUGUGAGGAAGAGGGGGUGGCCAAAAAGGGCAGGAGGAGGAGGGUAGAAGAGAGAGAGAGAGAGAGAGAGAAGAGGGGAGGGUAGCUCCUUGUGGUUGGUGGUUGUGAUGGGUGAUUGGAAAUUUUUAACAAAUUUAUAAAAACUACUCAAAAAAUUUUUAAAUUCUAAGAACAUCUCAAAAUACAACUUUAUAAAUAUUGAAUCCAAAGGAACCAUUUAGAGUAAAAAAUUUUCACAUACACCAUUACAGUAAAAUUUUUAAAAAAAUCUCUAAAAACACCUAACCCAUACUGAGCGUAUCAUGAAAAAUGAAGUUAGACAUUGGAAAUGAGUAAAAGGAGAUCAAAUUAGCAUAGAUUACUAGUUUUGGUGUUAAGUUUAUUGUAUAAAAUGAAAAAUAACAAUGAAAAAUACUAUGCCAAUUGGAUCGAAUAUCUAUAGAUCACAAAAUAUAUGAUUCACAUCGGAUUAACAAAACCUUUCAAUAUCUAUGUGAUAUGAUUUGUAUAUGAUCUAGCAGAUCAAAUAUUCACAAAAAGUGGAUUGGAUUAUGUGAUAUCUAACCAUUUUGAGCACCUAUUCUCUUAGUCCCCUAGUUCUGUCUAUGGACUAGAAUUUAUAGCUUGCGACAUAGUUUAUGGAAAUAGUUUGCAAAAGAAGGAUAUUGAAGUUCAAUGAGGAAAUUAAAUAGGAUAAUGUAUGAUCACAUUAUUUUCUAAUGGAUUAUACACAUAGCCACCCAUAAUAUAUUUAUUAAGUGUAGGUACUUUUUUCAUUAGUAGGUAUAUAUAUUUUCAUAUAGUGUAGGUAAUUUUUAACAUUAGUAGAUAUAGAUUAUAAUACAUAUGCAAAGAAAAAAAACUAAAAUUUGAAUAAAGAAUAUGUAUCAUCCACACCUCCUAGUGUAAAAGAUUUUCUUUACAUUGGCAAUUUAGGUAGUAGAAAGAGGUGUGUAUAUAUACAUAUAUAUAUAUAUAUAUAGUCUCCUAUAAAAAAAUAUGGUGAGUUUUGGUGGUUAAAAGUGUAAAUAAAAGUUGAUCUUAAUGUUUAUGAUACCCAAAUCACUCUUAUCACCAAUAAAUAGAUAAAUUGCAUUGCAUUUCCUUAAUAAUUGAUAAAAAUUAUGCUAACCAUUACAAAAAUGAACAUUCCCUUGAGUUGUGAUGAAUUAUACCAACAAAAGGUCAAAACUUAUCCCAUUUCAUCAAUAAUUAAUAUCAACUCAAUUAUGCUAAAAUCUACAAAGAUAAAAACAUUCCUUUAAGUAAUGGUGAAUUGAACCAAACAUGUAGAAUAAAUUUUAUUUACAAUAUAUCCAAGUUUAUAGAGUACUUCAAACAUGAAAACAAAAAGGGUAAAUUACAUAUAACCUCACUAUAAUUUUGCAUAAUGCUAGAUGAUCCCCUUAAAGUUUCAUAAUAACCAUAUGAACCCUAUGUGAUUUUAUAUAAAGUGAAAUAUAGACAGAAUACAAUAUCAAUCACGGCUAUUGAAUGAGAUGCGCUCUAAAAGUAUGUGUGAUGGAUCUAUGAUAUCCACAUGACCCCUCUAUGAUUUCUAUGAAUAUUCUACAUAAUCCUCUUAUGACUUUAUGAAAGGUGGGUAAACUCUUAUUUGAUUUAGGAUUUAAGUAAGAGUACUGCUAGAAUUUUAACUAAUGACAUUACUUAGGCUAUCCACAAAGUUAAGUGACCCAAAUUGGAGUAAUGGAAUUUCAAUAUAAGUUAAAUUAUGUUACAGUUGCAGUAGCAUUAUAAAUUAUUUUACAAUCCAUCCUUAACCAAAAACUAAAGAGAAAAACUCAUAAAACAAAUAAAAAAUGCAUGUAGUGAUAUGAAGGAAAACAAAUAAUCGUUCAAGAAGAUGAAAAUUUUAACUCAAAUGACAUAAAAGAGAAUAUUUAAGUCACCCAAAUUCAAUAGAAAGACAAAAAAAAAUAAAAAUAAAGGAUGCUUGUUGGUUGUGCAAUUUUGUUGGUCAAAGUAGAUGAAGUUAAAAAAAAAUAGAAAUAUUAAAUAUCAUUAUAUUUUUUUUGUCCAAAUUACAUUUAUUCCUUUAAAAAUUUUGAUUUCUUAAUAUCUUGAUGGGAAGAAAGAAAAAAAAAUCCAAAGCACAAUGUUCAUGUGCAAAGCGUGUGCUCCAUUACUAAUACAUAUAUAAAUAUACAGAUAUGUAUACACACACACACUCAUAUGUAUAUUUAUAUUUGUAUGCACAUAAUACACGUUUAUUCUUAUCCUAUGUAAUAAGUGCCCAACAUAAUUAUUCUAGUCAUAUAACAUCUUUGGAUCUAUGGCUUUAGAGGACAAGCUUUAUUAUUGAUAUUUCAUAUAUGAAAAUUUUAUGUAUGUACUUUGGUUAUUGGAAAGUUUAUAUGAUGUGUUUCAUUCGAGUUGUCCCAACACUUUGAGCAUCAUAACUUGAACUACAAGCCAAGGUAGGAUUGAUAGCCUAUGAGAGGAGUUUUACCUAUUUAAGCGACAUUUAGAUUUAAUAAAUAUAGCAAUAAAUUAUUUAACUAUUGCUAUUAUCUACUUGCAAGAUAUGGCUAAAUGAAACAACUGGGGAAUUUACUUUUGGCCAAGACAAAACAAAGCCCUUCAAAAGUAUGUUCCUACCCACUUUUGUUAGUGCGGGCAUGAUUUUCCUAAUGAGGGGGUGAUUCAUGUUGCUAAUGAAAUGGAUAGGCUACUAAGGGAAAGUGAAACCUAGUGUAGAGAAAACAAACGAACUUUUGAGAAAUAGGAUUGCUGUUUUGGAGGAAAAGAAAAGGAUGUUGGAAGCAGACGGCAAAAUUGCAUGCUAGGAAUCGAAACUUCGUCACCAUUGGGAGGAAAGUAUCAUAAAUUGAACACUACUCUAAGGAUAAUUAUUUUACAAUCCAUCAUGAACCAAAAAAAGUAAAGAGCAAAGCUCACCAAGAAUAAUAAAAAAUUCAUAUAAUGACAUGAAUGAAUACAAAUAAUUUUUCAAGGAGAUGAAAAUUUUAACUCAAGUGACAUAAAAGAAAACAUUCAAGUUAUCCAAAUUCAACAGAAUGACAAAAACAACAAAGGAUGCUUGUUUCUUGUGCAUUUGUGUUGGUUAGGGUUGGCCAAGUCCAAAAAAAGUAUAUAAUGAUAUAAAUAUUAAAUAUAACAUGAAUUUUUAUCUCAAUUACAUUUAUUCCUUCAAAAAAUUGAUUUUCUUUAUAUUUUGAGAAAAAAAGGGAAAAAAUCUGAAAGCAUCAGGUCCACAUGCAAAGCAUGUGUUCCAUUACUAGUACAUAUGUAAAUAAAUAGAUAUAUAUAUAUGUUUACAUUUAAUACAUGUUUAUACAUGUAUUAAAUGAUAUAAAAGAAAACAUUCAAGUUAUCCAAAUUCAACAGAAUGACAAAAACAACAAAGGAUGCUUGUUUCUUGUGCAUUUGUGUUGGUUAGGGUUGGCCAAGUCCAAAAAAAGUAUAUAAUGAUAUAAAUUUUAAAUAUAACAUUAAUUUUUAUCUCAAUUACAUUUAUUCCUUCAAAAAAUUGAUGAUAUAUAUAUAUAUAUAUAUAUAUAUAUAUAUAUAUAUAUAUGUUUACAUUUAAUACAUGUGUUCCAUUACUAGUACGAGCACGCACACUCGUACAUUUAUAUAUGUAUACAUUUAAUACAUGUUUAUUCUUAUCCUAACCAAUAAGUGCCCAAAAUAAUUAUUCUAGCCAUAUAACCUCUUUGGAUCUAUAGCUUUAGGAGACUAGCUUUAUUGUUGAUUUUCUGCAAAUGAAAAUUUCAUGUAUGCAGUUUCGCUGUUGGACAGCUGAUAUUGAUGAUAUGUAUAAUUCAAGUUGUCACAGCACUCUGAGCAUCACAACUUAAACUACAAGCCAAGAUAGGGUUGAUAGCCUAUGAGAGUAAUUUCAUUUUUUUAAGCGAUAUUUGGGUUUAAAAAAUAUGGCAAUGAAUUAAUCAGAUAUUGCUAUUAUCUACUUGUCGGACAUGGCUAAACAAAAUAAUCGGGGAAUUCACUUUCGUCCAAGGCAAAGCGAAACCCUUCAUAAAUAUGUUUCUGAACCACUUUUGUUAGUGUGCAAUGAUUUUUCCAAUGAGGAGGUGAUUCAUGUUGAGAAACAAACAUUUGAGAUCAUAAGAUUGCUGUGUCAGAGGAAAAGAUUAGGAUGUUGGAAGCAGACGGCAAAAUUGCAUACGAGAAAUCCAAACUUUGUCAUUGUUGUAAGGAAAAGUAUCAUAAAUUGAACAUUACUUUAAGGAAUAAUUAUUUUACAAUCCAUCAUCAAACAAAAAAAAUAAAGAGAAAAACUCACUAAAGUACUAAAAAAUUCACAAAGUGAUAUGAAUGAAAACAAAUAAUUGUUCAAGAAGGUGAAAAUUUUAACUCAAAUCACAUAAAAGAGAACAUUCAAGUCACCCAAAUUUAACAAAAAGACAAAAACCACAAAGGAGGUUUGUUGCUUGUGUCUUUGUGUUCGUGUAUAUAUAUAUAUAUAUAUAUAUAUAUAUAUAUAUAUAUAUAUCAAAUAUCACAUCAUUUUUUGUCUCAAUUACAUUUAUUCUUUCAAAAAAAAUUUAAUUUUCUUCAUAUUUUGAGGGAAAAAAAUCCAAAAGUACCACAUUCACGUGCAAAACACGUUCUCCGUUACUAGUACGAAUAUAAAUAUACAAAUAUGUGUGCAUGUGUGUGUAUAUACAAACAUACACACACACAGAUGUGUUGGGUUCGGAGACAAUGACAGACCAAGUGCCGGUAGACUGGGUCAUCUUGGCUUGAUCGAUGGAUGUAACUUCCACAAUUGCUCUGCCUUGUAGCAUUUGGGCCACUUGACUUUGAUGGAGAAUGGGUUCUCUUGGCUUCAGUAAUUGCACUGUCGCUGUAGACCAUAACAGCGUCAUCAUUGACCAUUUUUGCAAGUGUUUGUAAAGUGCCUGAAUGAAAUGUCCAGUUGACUAGAAAUUGUACGUGAUUCGUGUUAGGACACGAAAUAUGAAAAAAAGGGAAAGAGGAGUGAAGACCUUAAGAAGAUGAUUGGGGAAAAUCAGAAAUGAGGCGUGGGAGUAUGGUUUGAGAAGCUUUUGGCAGGUUACUCUAUUAGGCUUGUGGGGAGGAAAUUAGACAAAGUAGAAAGUUCCGAUGUCUCCAGACUCCUGGAAAUGUGCUUUACUAUGCUUGACUGCUUCGCAUACCAUCUAUGGAUUACCUUUUUUUUUUCUCUUUUUUUGCAUCUACCUUUUAUUGUACAUUUGCUUGUUAUUUUGUUGUCUUCAACUACCAAUUUCCUUUGGAUGAAUUUCAAUCAACUAAUGGGAGUUUGCAAUUAGGGUUUGUUUUGGGUUGAGAUGAAUUGCAGCUUGCAGUUAAUGGUGUGCUAGUUCCAAAAGAAGAACCUGUGCUAAGAAUCCAAACAUCAUCAUCUUUUGGAGGAAAGUAUCAUAAAUUGAAUACUAUUCUGAGGGAUAAUUAUUUUACAAUCCAUCAUUAACCUAAAAAAAAAUACUAAAUAGAAAAACUCGCUGAUAGUAAUAAAAAAUUCACAUAAUAAUAUGAAUAAAAACAAAUAAUUGUUCAAGAAGAUGAAAAUUUUAACUCAAAUGACAUAAAAGAGAAUAUUCAAAUCACCCAAAUUCAACACAAAAAUGAAAACAACAAACGAUGCUUGUUGCUUAUGCAUUUGUAAUGGUAAGGCAAACCAAGUCCAAAAAAAAUGUAAUGAUAUAAAUAUUAAAUAUCACAUUAUUUUUUUGUCUCAAUUAUAUUUAUUCUUUCAAAAAAAUGAUUUUCUCAAUAUUUUAGGAAAAAAGAAAAAAAAAAUUAAAGCAUCAGGUUCACGUGCAAAGCACGUGUUCCAUCACGAGUACAUAUGUAAAUAAACAGGUAUGCGUGUGUGUAUAUACACACAUACAUACAAAUACACAAAUGCAUAUGAAUAUUUACAUAUGUAUACAUAUAAUACAUGUUUAUUCUUAUCCUCUCUAAUAUAUAUUAAAUGUCACAGUAUUUUUUGUCUCAAUUACAUUUAUUCCUUAAAAAUUUUGAUUUUCUUAAUAUUUUGAGGAAAAAAAGAAAAUAAUCCUAAAGUACCAUAUUCAUAUGCAAAACACGUGUUCCUACACACAGACACACAUAGACACACAUAUAUAGACACACACAUGCAUGCAUGCAUAUAAUACAUGUAUGUUCUUAUCCUAUGUAAUAAGUGCCGACAUAAUUAUUCUAGUCUUAUAAUCUCUUUGGAUCUAUGGCUUUAGUUACCAACUCAAUAAAACUUUCGUUAUGUACAUCCUAUCUAACAAGACAAUAUUAUAGUGAGCCCUAUUGACCAAAACCUAUUGACAGAUGAAGUUGCGCCUAGUCAAAAUUUGGUUUUGAUGGAAGUGUAAUAAAGUUGGAAGUAUUUCUGGACCGUUAAUGUGUAACGUGUCAUCAUAUACGGACACAUGUUAAAAAAUUGAAUUAAUUACAUGUCCCAAAAAAACUAAGCCUAUGGUUUUGUUUCACCAUCAAUAGCAUCGUCAACUAGCCUCCGCCACCCAUGGUGGCCUGUGGGUCGUCAGAAAAACCUCCGAUGGUGGUGGUCUGCUGUCUGCGUCAUUGGGGAAGUCCUUUGCGUCAGUAGUGUCUGGUAUGGCACUUGGGGAGAAAGAUAUCGCUUUGGGCGUGGUCUCUACUUUUCGGGUGAACCAGCUCUCCGUGUCUCUCACCAAGGAAUCUCAUUUUUAUCAGAGCCUUUUCGGAAUGCAUUGGUGGGGAGGUUUGCCUUUAGCGGACCUCCCAUGGAGCUUAUACGAAAAUUUUUGUCACACUAGGUCUGGAGAGAGAUUGCUUGGUAGGACUACUUGAUCCUAAACAUAUUCUGAUUCGGUCUCUUUUGGAGGAGGAUUACACCAUAUUGUUUUCUCGCAGGGUAUGGUAUGUUCAUAACUCAACUAUAUCGAUCUCUAAGUGGGCAUUGAACUUCAAGGCAGAUCAGGAAGUUGCAAUAGCUUUGAUUUGGGUGUGUUU
rnacentral:lncRNA from 1 species